rnacentral:rRNA from 1 species
UACCAGCCCCCCGAGUGGUCGCGGCGAUUAUUGGGCCUAAAGCGUCCGUAGCCGGUCCUACAAGUCUUCCGUUAAAUCCACCUGCUUAACAGAUGGGCUGCGGAAGAUACUAUAGGGCUAGGAGGCGGGAGAGGCAAGCGGUACUCAGUGGGUAGGGGUAAAAUCCUCUGAUCCAUUGAAGACCACCAGUGGCGAAGGCGGCUUGCCAGAACGCGCUCGACGGUGAGGGAUGAAAGCUGGGGGAGCAAACCGG